GUCACACUCCCUGAUUUCUGAGGAAGUGAGAAGGGCUGGAGGUUGAAUCAGUCAGCAAUGGCCAAUGUUUUGAUUAAUCAUGCUUAUGUAAUGAACCCUCCUUUAAAAACUCAAAAGGAUGGGGUUCAGAGAGGUUCCAGGUUGGGGAACCAGAAUGCUUCCAUAUGCCAUUGUGUCAGGCCCCAAACUCCAGGAGGACAGAAGCUCCUUCGUUCAAGAACUUGCCCUAUGUUCCGGCUGGAUGUGAAUUUUGGUGGGACACUAUUGAACCCAGUAAACGUAGUGAGAAAGAAAUGUAUUCUGAGACAGACCCAAGCUAAGGACCUUGUUGAGAAAGCCCUGGGUAAUUUUUCACAGGAUGUCCCCACCUAACAAUUUCCCAUUACUGUAGUAAUGGCUCUCCCCCAUGCUUUCCCCUCACUCCUCUGCCUCCUGGCCAACUCUGGUACUUCUUCAUGUGGCUCUGCAUGGUGUGGUGUGCCUCCUCCUCUUGGGAAUUGUAGAUUACUCCAUGUUUUUCAUAAACAUAGAAUCACAAAGAAGCCUUAGGCUGUUGGGAAGCAGAACAUGCUGGCUUACUAUUGCACAAAGACAAAGAUAUUCACCUGGAAGCAUACUCUACAACCAAAAGUCACACCAUCGAUAUUAUUAUCUGUUUGUUUGAGAUCUAUUGCCGUAAACUAUGGUCUGAAGCUUUCGGUUCCUCAAAGCUGAGUCAACAUUGUUGAAAAUCUUCAGUGGAUUUGAUAUAAACACUACCAAUGCAGACAUUUUAUGGAAGCAAAAGGCCUUGUUGUUAUGAUCAGUAGAGCAUCAUCUAGAAUAGUGAUGUGGAUGAAUUUCACCACUAGAGCACUAAAUUCACCCCUGAAAUAAUAACACACAAAACUCUGAGCCGAUAUUGAGUGUUAAGGAUGUCCUUUCAUGUUUCCUCAUGAAGAUGAAGAUUAACUGCGGCUUGCCAAGCAUUUACAGGAUAAUCUUGUUUUUACCUUCAAAAGACACACUAAAUGUGAUGAAGCCAGAUAGGCCAGCACUCGUAUUUGCAAUGUUAUCUCCUCUGGUGCAUACAUGCAGCUGAUGCACUUAUGCUGUUGGGGCACUUUAAUAGGUCACUCUAUCAGAAAAAAAGAUGAAGUGUUAAAGGCUGUAUUGGGGCCUGCUAAGUGUAAUCCAAUACAGUGGGUCUGAUCCUGUCGAGUGUGUGAGAUACCGCAGAGGUUGUUAGGCAGUCUGUAGAGCGAGCCCCCCUAAGCUCACUUGCUUCUGGUUUUGUGUGAUUAUAAAGCCCACAAGUCAGGGGCAUCCAGUCCAGUAUCACCAAGAAGGUGUCAACAAUACUGUCAAUGGAAUGAUGCAUUUCUAUCAGUUCCAAAGACUGAGAGAUGCUAUUAAAUGAAUCUCCUAAUUAGCUAUUUUAAAAACAGCUACUUGGAAUGAAUAUAGUUUUGUUGAUUUAAAAAAAAAAUGAAUCCGCAUAUAGUUCUAGCUUUCAGGAAAAUAUGUCAUUUGGAUGUCAUAAAUAUCUGGGUCCUGACUCAGAGAAAAUGGAACCCUUUCCUCUCAGUUUCUUCACCACGCUCAGUACUGGAUACAACUCCAAGUUCGUGAAUUCAGUUUGAAAGAAAUAUGGCUCUUAUUUAUUUUCUUAAAUCAAUUUAAUUUCCAAACCUGAAUUGCUGAGGUUGGUGGGAAAUUUUACAUUAGGUCAUUUGAGCUUUAUACCCCACCACCUUGCCAAUGGUUGUGCCAAGAGGUUCCAUAUUUGUAGGCAGAGAGGGAGCCCCAUCUGGCCAUGGGCCUUUUUGUCUGCGCUGGUAAUUGUGGAGCUGGCUGCUAAGCCUAGCUCCCAUGGAUCCUGAAGUCUUCAAUCACCACUCUUUCUGUGCCUUGAAAUGGAUUCAGCAUUUUGGGUGAGAUCUGGGAUUUGCCUUCCUCCAAGCACUCAGAGGGUUCUAAGUCCCCCCCUCUUCCCCAGGACAUUGCCAGAUAUUAGAGAGUGGGAACUGGCUUCACCAGAAAUCUUGAAUCCUUUAUCUUCAAUUCUCCUCAGAAGUUACCUUUCUCUCCCCAAAUUCAAUUUUAGUGAUCAUCAAAUUUAAUGGCUCUAGAGGCCAAAGAAGUAAAUCCAUGAGACUAUUAAUUUAGAAGUCUGAGAGGCCUCUAAAAUGCCCUCUGUCCAGGACCCUUAGGAUAACCUUCUCAAUGAGUGUGGAGUUUUUUGAGAAAUGAAGCAUAAUGAGGGAAGUAUCCUUCCAGUAGAUUCUGCCGUCCACCCAGUGAGAAAUCGCUUCAACUAAAAGUCCACCUGACAUCCCCACAGGUCAAGGGAUGAUAGAACCUAAAAAUGUUGUAUGGAGAAGUGUAUUUGGACAAUUAGAAUAAAAAGAACACUGAUAGCAGAAAUGCAUCCUGCCACACACUCCAUGACAAACCACUCCCUCUGAUUCAGGAAUGGAACUUUGGACUUAGGUUUAACUUCCCAGAUGACCUCCUGCAAAUUUCCUCCUGGGGCUCCCUCUUCCCAUUUUUUACCAUCUUUCCCUCUCCCUUUACCCCCAUCACCUCAUACUAUUUCAGUUAAUGGUUGAAUUGAAGGUCUUGGAAUAGAAACCCCUUGAAAAGAGAGGUUUGGGUCUACGACCCAAAUGUAGGUUCAUGACGGUUGCCUUAACUCAGAGAUGUUUUCUUUUUUCAGCCUGUGGUAGUCCCCGUGCAGGUCAUUUUUGCUUAAUCAAUGAAUUGUGGCACUACUCAAGCCAUAGUGGUUGGGGUUUCAGGUUGAGCCAGUGGGGGUUCAUUUUAUGCAUCACUUUUGACACAUCUUUGCAAGGUUCAUCUCUUUCAGUUUGUAUAAAUCCAGUUUCUUGAGGGCAGUUUCUUUAAUGAAAGGCCACAUUUCCUAAAGUCCAGCUGGGAAUAUGACGGUCCUCUUAUAGCAGCUGGGCUCUAAUUGCUGCACGUAAACAAACAUUGUCUGGAAUAGAGCCAUCUUAUAGCUGUGGAUGCUAUUCAUUUCCAAGACUGCUAUGGUCAUUUAUUACUAAUGACAGGAAUCUAGCUGGCUGGAGUUGGCAGUCAUGUCCCUAUACAAGUAGCAUUUCAAACUGGCUGUGUGCUUUUGGGAAAACAAACAGCAUAAACUUAUGGCUUUUGUGCCUCAGUCUAAUUUCCAUGUCCUACAGGAAGCCUUCCCAUGUCACAGUAUGAUCCAUUUGUUGUCCAUAUAACAAAUUCAUAUAGAGUUGUGUAUGAUUGUCAUAUGCUACUAUUUAGAUUCUUAUAUAUCUAUGUCAUGUAUCUUUAAGGGAUUAAUGAGGUCCUUUAGGGAAGCAAGUGUUUCGUAUUUGAAUUAUUCAAAGCCGUAAGCACUGAAAUUUGACAUUGUUGAAUGUCUGGAAAUAAAUAAUCACUGAAUGGUAUGAGGGGUCAUCCAUUCCAAACCUCUGAGUUGACAAUAAGAGAAAAGCAGGGUAGUGGUCGAGCUCAAAGAAGAAAAUAAUCUAUUCAGCUUGUUGGACCCCCACAUUUUUUCCUUUCCAGGAGUUAAUGGUAACUGGCCCCUACUCACACGCUCAGCCCUGCUGUGCACAGUGAUAUUAUCCCUGUUUCAGAUUAGAAGAAGGUUAAGGAAAAUUAUGGCACAAAAUUCAUUAAUUUAACAGUUAAGUUUUAACCUGACCCAUUCUAAUCUUAUAUUUAGAUUUUUAGUAUUUACAGUUUCCUAUGCUUCUCAGCCUAAGCCUCUUAAUAUGUAUGCUCAAUUUCAUAACCAAUUACCAGCUUUUUCUUUUAUAACUCUAGAUAUGAUUUUCAGGGGAUACUUACUAUGUGCCAGGUGCUGUUUCAAGGCUUUAUGUGUGUUUCUGUCUCUGAUCCUCUCAACUAUCCCGUGAGGUAGAUACUGUGACCACAUUUUAUAGUCGAGAACAUUGAGGCACAAAGAAGUUGUAGUUUUCCCGAGGUCACACAGCCAGUAAAUAACUGAGCCAGAAUUCAAAGCCAGCAGCCUGACUCCCGAUCUCAAGCUCAUAAACACCCUGUCUGUGACUUUGACUUGGUUUAAAGAAAUGGUACUAGUUGUCAUUUUAAUGGACAUAAUUCGACACUAUUUAGCUCCCGUUGGUGGAGUGAGGGUACAGAUGGGAAGAAUGUCAGUCAUGAAGGCCUUGGCCAAAGCUGGUUCCAAUGUUAAUCUUCUAUUGAAUGGAAAUAUUUUCUUAGAGAGAUGAAAAAAAGCAAAGUCUGAUGGUAAGUAUGAAUCACAGUACAAGGCAGAGGGUAAUGGUCAGUGUUAGAAGAAAUGCUUCCUGCAUUAGAUCUGAGGAUUUGGUGCAAUCCAUAAAUACAACAUCCAUAAAGGUAUUCGACCCAGUGAAAUGGGCAAGUAAUGAGGGAGGCUCUAAGAAGGUGGGUGGAAUGGGACUCACAGAAUUAGGCAGGCCAAAAGCAGGAAGAAAGAUGAAAAAACUAGUAUAGGAGACUGUGAUGUUGUUCUUUAUACUAAGAAAUACGUAUUUGAUCUUUGUCCCUUUCUUGGCACACAGCUCCUAAAAUCUUUGGAAUUUCCCAUGAUGAGAGCAGUUAAAGGCAUCUUUUGUUGUAUUCAUGAGGUGACUUUUGGAAAGCACCUGAGGAUGGAGGCUGAUGCCGGUGGAAACAACCAUGUCAUUAGGGGGUUGGAAUUUGCAGUCCCACCCUAGACCUGGAGGCAGGGGAGAGGGGCUGGAAGUUAAAUUCAGUGACCAAAGGUGAAUGAUUUAAUCAAUCAUGCCUAUGUAUGAAGCCUCUAUAAGAACCCAAAAGGGGUUUUGAAGAGCUUCCAGGUUGGUGAACAUGUACAUAUUCCAGGACAGUGGCUUGCCUGGAGAGGGCGAGGAAGCUCCAUGCCCCUCCACAUACCAAGCCCUGUACAUUUCUUCUACGUGGCUCUUCCUGAAUUAUAUUCUUUUAUAAUAAACCAG
ensembl:lncRNA